UUGACGUGGGGUUGGUGGGAGUUGACAGAGAGAGAAGUGAGCACCCAUAGCUUCGAGCAUUAAACCCUUGAUGAAUGCGGGAAAAGACCAUGAGUGCUCACUCUCUUCUGUCAACCUCCAUCAUGCCCACUCAC
rnacentral:pre_miRNA from 15 species